rnacentral:rRNA from 1 species
GCUUACACAUGCAGUCGAGCGCCCCGCAAGGGGAGCGGCAGACGGGUGAGUAACGCGUGGGAAUCUACCCUUUUCUACGGAAUAACGCAGGGAAACUUGUGCUAAUACCGUAUAAGCCCUUUGGGGGAAAGAUUUAUCGGGAAAGGAUGAGCCCGCGUUGGAUUAGCUAGUUGGUGGGGUAAAGGCCUACCAAGGCGACGAUCCAUAGCUGGUCUGAGAGGAUGAUCAGCCACAUUGGGACUGAGACACGGCCCAAACUCCUACGGGAGGCAGCAGUGGGGAAUAUUGGACAAUGGGCGCAAGCCUGAUCCAGCCAUGCCGCGUGAGUGAUGAAGGCCCUAGGGUUGUAAAGCUCUUUCACCGGUGAAGAUAAUGACGGUAACCGGAGAAGAAGCCCCGGCUAACUUCGUGCCAGCAGCCGCGGUAAUACCAAGGGGGCUAGCGUUGUUCGGAAUUACUGGGCGUAAAGCGCACGUAGGCGGACAUUUAAGUCAGGGGUGAAAUCCCGGGGCUCAACCCCGGAACUGCCUUUGAUACUGGGUGUCUACACUAUGGAAUACGUGAGUGUAAUUCCUAGUG